rnacentral:piRNA from 1 species
UGCUGAUGGAAUAUGACUCCUGCCAUAUA